rnacentral:rRNA from 1 species
UGGGGAAUAUUGGACAAUGGGGGCAACCCUGAUCCAGCCAUGCCGCGUGUGUGAAGAAGGCCUUAGGGUUGUAAAGCACUUUCAGUAGGGAGGAAAAGUUAAUGGCGAAUACCCAUUAACCCUGACGUUACCUACAGAAGAAGCACCGGCAAACUCCGUGCCAGCAGCCGCGGUAAUACGGAGGGUGCGAGCGUUAUCCGGAAUUACUGGGCGUAAAGCGCGCGCAGGCGGUUGGACAAGUUCGGCGUGAAAGCUCCCGGCUUAACUGGGAGAGGUCGUUGAAAACUGUUCAGCUUGAGGCGAUGAGAGGGGUGCGGAAUUCCCGGUGUAGUGGUGGAAUGCGUAGAUAUCGGGAGGAACACCAGUGGCGAAAGCGGCACCCUGGCAUUUGCCUGACGCUCAUGUGCGAAAGCGUGGGGAGCGAACGGGAUUAGAUACCCCGGUAGUCCACGCUGUAAACGAUGAAUACUAGGUGUGGGUGGCGUCAAAACCAUUCGUGCCGAAGCAAACGCGAUAAGUAUUCCGCCUGGGGAGUACGGCCGCAAGGCUA